rnacentral:rRNA from 1 species
ACACUCCUACGGGAGGCAGCAGUGGGGAAUAUUGGACAAUGGGCGCAAGCCUGAUCCAGCCAUGCCGCGUGAGUGAUGAAGGCCCUAGGGUUGUAAAGCUCUUUCACCGGAGAAGAUAAUGACGGUAUCCGGAGAAGAAGCCCCGGCUAACUUCGUGCCAGCAGCCGCGGUAAUACGAAGGGGGCUAGCGUUGUUCGGAAUUACUGGGCGUAAAGCGCACGUAGGCGGAUCGAUCAGUCAGGGGUGAAAUCCCAGGGCUCAACCCUGGAACUGCCUUUGAUACUGUCGAUCUGGAGUAUGGAAGAGGUGAGUGGAAUUCCGAGUGUAGAGGUGAAAUUCGUAGAUAUUCGGAGGAACACCAGUGGCGAAGGCGGCUCACUGGUCCAUUACUGACGCUGAGGUGCGAAAGCGUGGGGAUCAAACAGGAUUAGAUACCCCUGUAGUCCCAUGAU